rnacentral:rRNA from 1 species
GGAGCUUGCUCCACCGAAAGAAAAAGAGUGGCGAACGGGUGAGUAACACGUGGGUAACCUGCCCAUCAGAAGGGGAUAACACUUGGAAACAGGUGCUAAUACCGUAUAACACUAUUUUCCGCAUGGAAGAAAGUUGAAAGGCGCUUUUGCGUCACUGAUGGAUGGACCCGCGGUGCAUUAGCUAGUUGGUGAGGUAACGGCUCACCAAGGCAACGAUGCAUAGCCGACCUGAGAGGGUGAUCGGCC